CCCUGCCCACUAAACAGAUGUUGAGAAUUUGGAAGAGGGUAUCUUUGUGCCAUGGUUUAAAUUUGUCCUCAAGCGUCUGAAUGCACCACACGGGUGUUAGCGUGGGGUGGGUGUUGGGAGAAGAGGUUACCAGACAUGUCUACACAGGAGGCUAUGUUAAAGGAAGUUUACUACUCUCCUGGUGAAGCUGGCAGUUUUGGUGGGGUGAACAUGCUUUUUGAAGCCACCAAAAGGCAAAAUAAGGUUCUGAACAGAAGUGGGGUGGCCGCAUGGCUUUCAGAUCAGGAUGCUUACACCCUACACAAACCAGCAAGAAGAU